rnacentral:sRNA from 1 species
UCAGUGAGGCCUUCCGCUUCGAGCGGAGGAG